rnacentral:rRNA from 1 species
UACGGGGGGAGCAAGCGUUGUUUGGAUUUACUGGGCGUAAAGGGCGCGUAGGCGGCCAGCACAAGUCAGUUGUGAAAUCUCCGGGCUUAACUCGGAAAGGUCAACUGAUACUGUGCGGCUAGAGUGCAGAAGGGGCAACUGGAAUUCUCGGUGUAGCGGUGAAAUGCGUAGAUAUCGAGAGGAACACCUGCGGCGAAGGCGGGUUGCUGGGCUGACACUGACGCUGAUGCGCGAAAGCCAGGGGAGCGAACGGG